rnacentral:rRNA from 1 species
CCUACGGGGGGCAGCAGUAGGGAAUAUUGCUCAAUGGGGGAAACCCUGAAGCAGCAACGCCGCGUGGAGGAUGAAGGUUUUCGGAUUGUAAACUCCUUUUGUUAGAGAAGAUAAUGACGGUAUCUAACGAAUAAGCACCGGCUAACUCCGUGCCAGCAGCCGCGGUAAUACGGAGGGUGCAAGCGUUACUCGGAAUCACUGGGCGUAAAGGGCGCGUAGGCGGGAUAGCAAGUCAGAUGUGGAAACCUAUGGCUUAACCAUAGAACUGCAUUUGAAACUGUUAUUCUAGAGUAUGGGAGAGGUAGGUGGAAUUCUUGGUGUAGGGGUAAAAUCCGUAGAGAUCAAGAGGAAUACUCAUUGCGAAGGCGACCUGCUAGAACAUAACUGACGCUGAUGCGCGAAAGCGUGGGGAGCAAACAGGAUUAGAUACCCGGGUAGUC